rnacentral:rRNA from 1 species
AUUGAACGCUGGCGGUAGGCCUAACACAUGCAAGUCGAACGGCAGCACAGUAAGAGCUUGCUCUUACGGGUGGCGAGUGGCGGACGGGUGAGGAAUACAUCGGAAUCUACUUUUUCGUGGGGGAUAACGUAGGGAAACUUACGCUAAUACCGCAUAGGACCUACGGGUGAAAGCAGGGGAUCUUCGGACCUUGCGCGAUUGAAGGAGCCGAUGUCGGAUUAGCUAGUUGGCGGGGUAAAGGCCCACCAAGCCGACGAUCGGUAGCUGGUCUGAGAGGAUGAUCAGCCACAUUGAACCUGAGACACGGUCCAGACCCCUACGGGAGGAAGCGGUGGGGAAUAUUGGCCAAUGGGCGCAAGCCUGAUCAAGCCAUACCGCGUGGGUGAAGAAGGCCUUCGGGUUGUAAAGCCCUUUUGUUGGGAAAGAAAAGAAGCAGGUUAAUACCCCGCUGUUCUGACGGUACCAAAAGAAUAAGCACCGGCUAACUUCGU